UACGGAGGGUGCAAGCGUUAUCCGGAAUCACUGGGUUUAAAGGGUGCGUAGGCGGGUUAUUAAGUCAGUGGUGAAAGCUGGUCGCUCAACGAUCAAAUUGCCAUUGAUACUGAUAGUCUUGAAUUGAGUUGAGGUUAGCGGAAUGUGACAUGUAGCGGUGAAAUGCGUAGAUAUGUCAUGGAACACCAAUUGCGAAGGCAGCUAACUAGGCUUAUAUUGACGCUGAGGCACGAAAGCGUGGGUAGCGAACAGG
rnacentral:rRNA from 1 species